rnacentral:rRNA from 1 species
UACGUAGGGUGCGAGCGUUAAUCGGAAUUACUGGGCGUAAAGCGUGCGCAGGCGGUUUUGUAAGCCAGAUGUGAAAUCCCCGGGCUCAACCUGGGAAUGGCAUUUGGGACUGCAAGGCUGGAGUACGGCAGAGGAGACUGGAAUUCCUGGUGUAGCAGUGAAAUGCGUAGAGAUCAGGAGGAAUACCGAUGGCGAAGGCAGGUCUCUGGGCUGAUACUGACGCUCAUGCGCGAAAGCGUGGGGAGCAAACAGG